UACGGAGGGAGCUAGCGUUGUUCGGAAUUACUGGGCGUAAAGCGCACGUAGGCGGCUAUUCAAGUCGGGGGUGAAAGCCCGGGGCUCAACCCCGGAACUGCCCUCGAAACUAGGUAGCUAGAAUCUUGGAGAGGCGAGUGGAAUUCCGAGUGUAGAGGUGAAAUUCGUAGAUAUUCGGAAGAACACCAGUGGCGAAGGCGGCUCACUGGACUGGUAUUGACGCUGAGGUGCGAAAGCGUGGGGAGCAAACAGG
rnacentral:rRNA from 1 species